rnacentral:rRNA from 1 species
UACGGAGGGUGCAAGCGUUAAUCGGAAUUACUGGGCGUAAAGCGUGCGCAGGCGGUUUGUUAAGUCCGUUGUGAAAGCCCCGAGCUCAACUUGGGAAUUGCAGUGGAUACUGGCAGGCUGGAGUACGGUAGAGGAAGGUGGAAUUCCCGGUGUAGCAGUGAAAUGCGUAGAUAUCAGGAGGAACACCGGUGGCGAAGGCGGCGAUCUGGCCCAACACUGACACUGAGACCCAAAAGCGUGGGGAUCAAACAGG